GAUAGCUCAGUCGGCAGAGCGGGUGACUGUUAAUCACUAGGUCGCAGGUUCAAGUCCUGCUC
rnacentral:tRNA from 3 species